rnacentral:rRNA from 1 species
GUAGGGAAUAUUGCGCAAUGGACGAAAGUCUGACGCAGCAACGCCGCGUGGGUGAUGAAGUUUUUCGGAAUGUAAAACCCUGUCGGUGGGGAAGAAACGCACGAUUAGUAACUGAUUCGUGCCUGACGGUACCCACAAAGGAAGUCCCGGCUAACUCCGUGCCAGCAGCCGCGGUAAUACGGGGGGGACAAGCGUUGUUCGGAUUUACUGGGCGUAAAGGGCGCGUAGGCGGACCUUCAAGUCGGAUGUGAAACCCCCGGGCUUAACUCGGGGCCUGCACCCGAUACUGUUGGUCUUGAGUACAGGAGAGGAGAGUGGAAUUCCAGGUGUAGCGGUGAAAUGCGUAGAUAUCUGGAAGAACACCAGUAGCGAAGGCGGCUCUCUGGACUGAUACUGACGCUCAAGCGCGAAGGCUUGGGGAGCAAACAGGAUUAGAAACCCCGGUAGUCC